rnacentral:rRNA from 1 species
GGGGGAUAUUGCACAAUGGAGGAAACUCUGAUGCAGCAACGCCGCGUGAAGGAUGAAGGUUUUCGGAUUGUAAACUUCUUUAGUCAGGGACGAAAAAAAUGACGGUACCUGAAGAAUAAGCCACGGCUAACUACGUGCCAGCAGCCGCGGUAAUACGUAGGUGGCAAGCGUUGUCCGGAAUUACUGGGUGUAAAGGGCGUGUAGGCGGGAAUGUAAGUCAGAUGUGAAAUCCCAGGGCUUAACCCUGGAGCUGCAUCUGAAACUAUGUUUCUUGAGUGCCGGAGAGGAAAGCGGAACUCCUAGUGUAGCGGUGAAAUGCGUAGAUAUUAGGAGGAACACCAGUGGCGAAGGCGGCUUUCUGGACGGUAACUGACGCUGAGGCGCGAAAGCGUGGGUAGCAAAC